GUCCUCAUUGGUGACCUGAGACAAAACAACAGCAUCCUGACUUCAGAAAGUCAGCAGCUGCAGAUGGAGAAGAGCGCCUUAGAGAGACAAGUGGAGAAGCUGAGGAGAGAGAGGACUGAGCUCAGCUUGACUCGGACACAGAGGAUCCUUGAUGCCUACUGCCCCAAAACAGGAGACAAGGAAGAGAGACGGUGUAAUCCUUGUCAGGAGGGCUGGCUUCUCUCCCCGUCCAAGUCCAGCUGUUAUCUGGUU